rnacentral:rRNA from 1 species
UACGAAGGGGGCUAGCGUUGUUCGGAAUCACUGGGCGUAAAGGGCGCGUAGGCGGCUGUUCAAGUCGGGGGUGAAAGCCUGUGGCUCAACCACAGAAUUGCCUUCGAUACUGGACGGCUCGAGACCGGAAGAGGUCAGUGGAACUGCGAGUGUAGAGGUGAAAUUCGAUAGAUAUUCGCAAGAACACCAGUGGCGAAGGCGGCUGACUGGUCCGGUUCUGACGCUGAGGCGCGAAAGCGUGGGGAGCAAACAGG